GAUGAACGCUGGCGGCGUGCCUAAUACAUGCAAGUCGAGCGAACGGACGAGAAGCUUGCUUCUCUGAUGUUAGCGGCGGACGGGUGAGUAACACGUGGAUAACCUACCUAUAAGACUGGGAUAACUUCGGGAAACCGGAGCUAAUACCGGAUAAUAUUUUGAACCGCAUGGUUCAAAAGUGAAAGACGGUCUUGCUGUCACUUAUAGAUGGAUCCGCGCUGCAUUAGCUAGUUGGUAAGGUAACGGCUUACCAAGGCAACGAUGCAUAGCCGAUCUGAGAGGGUGAUCGGCCACACUGGAACUGAGACACGGUCCAGACUCCUACGGGAGGCAGCAGUAGGGAAUCUUCCGCAAUGGGCGAAAGCCUGACGGAGCAACGCCGCGUGAGUGAUGAAGGUCUUCGGAUCGUAAAACUCUGUUAUUAGGGAAGAACGUAUGUGUAAGUAACUGUGCACAUCUUGACGGUACCUAAUCAGAAAGCCACGGCUAACUACGUG
rnacentral:rRNA from 1 species